rnacentral:rRNA from 1 species
UACGUAGGGGGCAAGCGUUGUCCGGAUUUAUUGGGCGUAAAGAGCGUGUAGGCGGCUUCACAGGUCCGCUGUGAAAACUCGAGGCUCAACCUCGAGCUGUCGGUGGAAACCGUGUGGCUAGAGUCCGGAAGAGGAGAGUGGAAUUCCUGGUGUAGCGGUGAAAUGCGCAGAUAUCAGGAAGAACACCCGUGGCUAAGGCGGCUCUCUAGUACGGUACUGACGCUGAGACGCGAAAGCGUGGGGAGCGAACAGG